GGGCCUUUAGCUCAGCUGGUAGAGCACCUGGUUUACACCCAGGUUGUCGUCGGUUCGAUCCCGGCAGGGCCCA
rnacentral:tRNA from 1 species